CAAAAGGGAAGGCCUGACUCUCUUUGAUCUGACUAUAUGUUAAAGCCAUAUAGUCAGAUCCCAACAUAUAGAUUACGACCCCAACAUGCAGCAUAAUUCUUCCCAAUUAAUUCAAACUAAAUCACAAAUAAUUUAAAUCUUUACUGUUUGUUAACCAGUACAGAAUGUAAUGAUACAUACAUGUAGGUGCAAGGGAACAAGAUGUGACGUUAAUGAAUAAUUAAUUAAUUAUUAUCAUUAUUAUAAUUUUUUAUAACACUGCUGUAGUUUAUUUCAAAAUGAUCAUAUAGAACUUACCAACACUGGAGAGGCACAGAUGAUAACAAAAUAAGGAACUACAUAGAAAACAACUUCAAGGUACGUUUGUGUUUUUACUUUGCAACAAACCGAAGUAGAAGUAAAAGAGCACUGUCAGGUACAUACUGUUGGCCUAAAUAGGUCAUUGAAAAAUUUGAGAUGAUGAAAUUAUGAUAUGACGAGGUCAUCUUGUCAUAUUACAGUUACUGAUAGGUCUGUCGUUCAAAUGUUUAAGCAGCCAAAAGAACACAUUCCCCAAUACUCAAAUUCUGAGAGAGCUCAGUGACAAAAUUGAAAACCUGCAAGUUCAACGUCAAUAGUUCUGCUGUCCUCGAUUGAGCAAUAACGGGGGUUCAGAUGGCUCUCCUAGGAUCCAAAUAAAAAGAUGUCUAUAACAUUUUCAGUCGAAUUAAAUAUUCCUAAUGAGGUUGUGGUGACUAGUCUUCAAUGGGUUCCAAUGAAAUGAUCUGCUCGUGUAUUUCUUUACUUCAAGACGUUUUGGCCGGAUUAGAUAUUUGGAUCUGACUCCUUUGAAGUUAGACCCACAGGACCACAGAAUUGGAGACACAAAACUGUCCAGCCAGUGUUUUCUCCUCAGAAUUAAAUAUGGCAUCUCAGACAUCACCAGUUGUUUGCGUGCUGCAAAAUGCGACCAGACGCAGUACAUCCUGGUAUUUGUGGCAAACUGUAUUUGAUAUACAAUGUAUUAGGACAUACUAGAUAUUUUUCUGGCAUAUUAAUAGAAUGGAGGUAUGGUUAUUGGAACACACAUACAUAAACCUUCACUAAACCACUGAACUGAUCAGUGUUUAGUAAAAGAAUGCAACACAAAUGAGCUUUUAUGUUGGUGGUUUGGGAGUUGAUCAACAAAUCCACUAAAAGAGGAGAUGUUAGUUUCCACAACUCUGCACUACUACAUGCAUGUGAGAUAAAAUAAACCCAAGUAAGUGUGCAACAAAGUAAAGCACAUGAUGACCCUCAAAAUGCUGUGUGAUAAAUUACAGCGAGCAUAACAUCAUUCAAAUCUACAAUAGUAGCCAGUUUGGCUCUGUGUUCAAUAGAUCGUUCUGUUAUGAGACACUUUGCCCAACAACACAUGUACCCAUUUGAAAACAUGACAACAAUUGUACUGUAUGACUGAGAAUCACACAUUUUUAUUACACCUUCAAAUCGAACAAUGGCGCACUUGCUACCAUGCCAAUGUCAUGAGAACUGGGGCGACUGUGGCAAAGUGGAGAGCAGGGCCGUCCUUCAAUCAGAGGAUCAGCGGUUCAAACCCUGGCUCAGGCUCCACUAGUUUCAUGUAUGUUGAUGUGUCCUUGAGCAAGACACUUAACCCCAAAAAUUGCUCCUGUAGCUGUGCCUAUGGUGUAGAAUUGUGAUAGAAUCUGAACUGUAAGUUGCUUCGGAUAAAAGUGUAUGCUAAAUAACUGUAAUGUAAUGAUUUCCUGGCUUCAGGUGAUACAAUGUGGUUAUACAGUACAUACUGUAUAACCACUUUACUCAAGAAAGGUAAUUUCAUGGGAGUUAUUCAAUCUAAGUCACACACAAUUUAACUUGUGAUUAUGAACUGUUGUUGAGAGGCAAGUAAAGGUUCUGAGUUUUAGGUGAUAUGUCUCGGCUUCAGGGCUGGUGUUAACAUUGAAAAUGGAGUCAAGGAGAGGGAUAUCUUCUUAAAGACAUUAACAAACCUACGCUCCGUCUCUUUCUGGGCAGGCUGAAAUGGGGGAAACACACACUGCAAUGAAGAAGAUGUAGGUCUAAGAGUAUUAUUGUAAGUUUAUCCUGUUUUUAAAACAGGCAAAAGCUGUAGCUGGUUUCACUGAUAAAAACCUCCAUAUUUUUUGGCUUUUAGUGAUACAUAGAUUCCACUCCCCAUUUAAAAAUGCUGUCCAGGGUCAGUAAAAGAUAUGUUGCUAUGUUGAUGAGAGUUCUGAGAGAUGCCAGGUGAUUGGUUAAUGACCUUGAUUGCUGAUUGACAGCACCUGUGAGGAGGCUGUGUGUUGAGUCUUGUGGUGUAUAAAACAGCAUCUUGACUAUUGCUCUAGACUGACCUGCUCUCUCAUUCGAAACAGCAGCGAUCUGUAAAGUUGCAGCUGACAUCUGUAUCCAGAAUGGCCGCAAAGAAAGUGUUGAUCGUGUAUGCCCACCAGAGCACUGGCUCAUUCAACGCUGCAUGCAGCCAAAGAUGCUGCUGUAGAAGUUUUAGCAGGUCAGGGCUGCACGGUGGCCGUAUCGGACCUGUACGCCAUGACGUUUAAAGCCACUGCUACUGAUGAGGACAUCACUGGAGAAGUCAAGAAUGCCGAUCACUUCCGUUAUGCAGAGGAGACUAAACUGGCAUGGGAGGAAGGAAAACUAUGUGCUGACAUCACUGAGGAACAAUCAUCUUUCAGUUCCCCAUGUACUGGUUCACUGUUCCUGCCAUCAUGAAGGGCUGGAUCAACUGGGUGCUCACACUGGGCUAUGCCUACUCUCAAGAAAAGAGAUGCAGCCAGGGAAUCUUCAAGGACAAGAAAGCAAUGCUGUCCUUCACCACUGGGUCUCAUGAGUCCAUGUUUAGUGCAGAUGGUAUUAAUGGCAACAUGAAUGUCGCACUGUGGCCACUACAGGUACUGAAUCAGAAUAUUGCUUCAACUCGGCGUUAAAGAUCCAGAGUGUAGGAUUUGGGAGUUUAAUGGCAUGGAAUAUAUAUUAAUCCUGAUGUUUCUGUAUUUCCUUGCGUGACAGAAAAAUAAAGGCUGACUUGACUUA